rnacentral:lncRNA from 1 species
GUCCUCAGUUACCGUGUACCUAUAGUCCCUCAUCCAUCUAAUAUCCCAGAGACCGUAUAUCGAGCAUGGUACUGUCAGACCCAUACGGUUUCUACUCGAGUCUCGCUCUAAUCGGAUUCUCCUGGAGAACUCUUUCUCUCUCAACCCGAAUGACCCUAGCUAGGGAUUUGUCUGAGCAAGAACACAUGGGAUAUUCCUCUCAUGACGCCGAGAGUGGAUGAUCCUUUAUCGACACUCAAUAGCCCUCGUAAGGUCGAC